ACAGACAGGAAAACUUUGAAAAUACGGUGAACAUAUACUGCUGCGAUUCAAGUCUGUACUUGAAUCGCAGCAGUAUAUCGCUCAUAUGAUUUGAUUGAAAUUUCAAGAUCUCAAGCUUCUCUACAUUUACUGAGGUCUAUACAAAAGAUAGCUGCUAUAUUUAUACAGUACUCUGCCGAACUUGUGGUCUCUUUACAAAACAUGGAUAAUUCAUCAGAAAAAUCGAGAUCUUUAGAAAGAUUCCCACUACUUCAAGAUAAAGAUUCACCAACGAUAAACGAUAUUGUUGACAUAAAACCGUCGAAACCAUCCAUUUUUACGAUUCCUGUCAUAUGUAUUCUUAUCGUGGAACUUUGUGAGAGGUUGACGUUUUAUGCCAUAAGUGCAAAUCUUUUUCUUUUUGCUACUGACGUCAACCAUUUAGACUUCAGCUCUGAAGUAGCAAUUAUUAUUGCGACAGUAUUUACAGGUCUUUGUUAUCUAACUCCAAUUAUUGGUGGUUGGUAUGCAGAUUCCAAAGCAGGAAAGUUUGCAACAAUACUUGGUGCUGGUGUCAUAUAUUUGAUUGGAUCUAUUUUGCUUCCGUUGGGAUCAAUAACUUAUAACAACUCUGAAACUGAACACAGCAAUUGGGCUGCAAGUAAAUUUACAACCAAUAAAGUAUUUAAAAGAACUGUGUAUCUUAUUGGUUUAAUACUCGUUUCAAUUGGAACUGGAGGAAUUAAAUCAAAUGUAUCACCUUUUGGUGCAGAACAACUAUCAAGUCUUGGUCCUUCGGCUAUUCAAGCUUUUUUCAACUGGUUUUAUUGGAUUAUAAACUUUGGAGCAAUGCUUGCGUUAGCUGUUGCUUCAUAUGUCCAACAAGAUAUUUCCUAUUUUUUUGGAUACUUGAUUCCGGUGGUGACGCUUCUUCUUUCCAUCCUGGUUUUUCUUUUGGGGCGAAAAAGAUACAUUAUUCGUCCUCCAACUGGUAGCGUUCUUACUACAACCUUUAAAAUAGUACGAGAGGCGAUUAAACGAUCUCUGAGGCCAUCUCUGUCGAGUUCUUUUGUAAAUCAUUGGUUGGACCGAGCAAAAAUGUGUUUUGGUGGCUCUUACAGCAGUUGGGAAGUUGAAGAUGUGAAAACAGUGUACAGAUUGUUGCCGAUUUUCGCGUCUUUUAUCGUAUAUUGGAUGGUGUUUUCACAGAUAAGUUCAACGAUGGUUUUUCAAGCAAAGUACAUGGAUAUAAAACUUGGUCAGUUUGAAAUUCCCAUCGCGUAUCUGUUUCUUGUUAACACAGUAUCUGUUUUAUUAAUUAUACCUGUUAUGGAUAAAGUUGUCUAUCCACUUUUGGGUUAUUUCAAUAUCCAUCUCAGUCAAUUACAACGCAUCGGUAUUGGCAUGUUGAUAGCCACUGCUAGUAUGGCGUGUGCUGGGGGGAUAGAAGUGUAUCGUAAGGAUCAUUGUUGUAUACCACAAGAAAGACAUGGUGAAGAUAAGCCGUUAAAUGUCUCUGAUGCCAGCAUAUUUUAUCAAGUGCCUCAAUAUUUUUUGAUUGGUCUGAGUGAAGUGUUUUCAAGUAUUUCAGGUUUAGAAUUGGCUUUUACUGAAGCUCCAAAAUCUCUACAAGGUGUUGUGAUGGGAGUUUUUCUCCUAUCUACAGGAAUGAGUAGCAUUUUUGGCACAGCACUUGUCAUCAUCGUCAAAGCAGUAACGGAAAAAAGAGAUGAAAGCAAGCAAUGGUUGCCUAAAGGAAAGAACAUCAAUAAAGGCAAAUUGGAAAACUAUUUUUUUCUGCUUGCUGUCUUAAUGUUUCUCAACUUUGUUUUGUAUGUUUUUUUUGCCUUAAAUUAUAACAAGAAAAAGGAAUUGGCCGCGAAAACGAUGGAAAAUAAUGAUAAAACACCGGAAUACGUAACUUAAAAUCCCCAAGCCAUUGGUAAUGUAGAAAGCAGUCAAUCUUGUGUACAAUGUGCUUCUAGGUUUCACUGUUAUGAUGUUCCUUUGAACACCUUGACUAGUGGAUUUUAGUAAUUUAACUCAUAUUGCUUUUUUUAUAAAUACAUCCGCCAUUGUCUAUCGAAAAA